UACGUAGGGGGGCAAGCGUUGUCCGGAUUUAUUGGGCGUAAAGAGCGUGUAGGCGGCCAGGUAGGUCUGCUGUGAAAACUCGAGGCUUAACCUCGAGCUGUCGGCGGAAACCAUCUGGCUAGAGUCCGGAAGAGGAGAAUGGAAUUCCCGGUGUAGCGGUGAAAUGCGCAGAUAUCAGGAAGAACACCCGUGGCGAAAGCGGCUCUCUGGAACGGUACUGACGCUGAGACGCGAAAGCGUGGGGAGCGAA
rnacentral:rRNA from 1 species